rnacentral:rRNA from 1 species
CGGAUCGGAGUCUGNAACCCGACUCCGUGAAGCUGGAGUCGCUAGUAAUCGCGCAUCAGCCAUGGCGCGGUGAAUACGUUCCCGGGCCUUGUACACACCGCCCGUCAAGCCAUGGAAGCCGGGGGCGCUUGAAGUGCGUUGCCGCAAGGCGCGCCCUAGAGCGAAACCGGUGACUGGGGCUAAGUCGUAACAAGGUAUC